UGCAGUCGAACGAGAAGGGAUCUUCGGAUCCUGAGUAGAGUGGCGAACGGGUGAGUAUCGCGUGGGUGACCUGCCCUAAGGAGGGGGAUAACCCGAGGAAACUCGGGCUAAUACCGCAUAAGCCCUAGGAGUCAAAUCCUAGGGGAAAGGGGCAUUUCUUUCGGGGAGUGUCAUUGCCUUUGGAGGGGCCCGCGUCCGAUUAGCUAGUUGGGGGGGUAAUGGCCCACCAAGGCGACGAUCGGUAGCCGGUCUGAGAGGACGGACGGCCACACUGGAACUGAAACACGGUCCAGACUCCUACGGGAGGCAGCAGUGGGGAAUUUUGCGCAAUGGGGGAAACCCUGACGCAGCAACGCCGCGUGAAGGAAGAAGGUUUUCGGAUCGUAAACUUCUGUCCGAGGGGAAGAAAAAAAUGACGGUACCCUUGGAGGAAGCCCCGGCUAACUCCGUGCCAGCAGCCGCGGUAAUACGGGGGGGGCAAGCGUUGUUCGGAAUUACUGGGCGUAAAGGGCACGCAGGCGGCUUGAGAAGUUCUAGGUGAAAGCCCUCGGCUUAACCGAGGAAUGUCCUAGGAAACCAUCAGGCUAGAGUGCUGGAGAGGGGAGUGGAAUUCCCGGUGUA
rnacentral:rRNA from 1 species